rnacentral:rRNA from 1 species
CCUACGGGGGGCUGCAGUGGGGAAUAUUGGACAAUGGGGGAACCCUGAUCCAGCCAUGCCGCGUGUGUGAAGAAGGCCCUCGGGUUGUAAAGCACUUUCAGUGAGGAAGAACGCCUGGUGGUUAAUACCCAUCAGGAAAGACAUCACUCACAGAAGAAGCACCGGCUAACUCCGUGCCAGCAGCCGCCGUAAUACGGAGGGUGCGAGCGUUAAUCGGAAUUACUGGGCGUAAAGCGCGCGUAGGUGGCUUGAUAAGCCGGUUGUGAAAGCCCCGGGCUCAACCUGGGAACGGCAUCCGGAACUGUCAAGCUAGAGUGCAGGAGAGGAAGGUAGAAGUCCCGGUGUAGCGGUGAAAUGCGUAGAGAUCGGGAGGAAUACCAGUGGCGAAGGCGGCCUUCUGGACUGACACUGACACUGAGGUGCGAAAGCGUGGGUAGCAAACAGGAUUAGAUACCCGGGUAGUC